rnacentral:rRNA from 1 species
AGAGACAGCAGUCGCCGCGGGAAUACAGAGGGUGCAAGCGUUAAUCGGAAUUACUGGGCGUAAAGCGCGCGUAGGUGGUUUGUUAAGUUGGAUGUGAAAGCCCCGGGCUCAACCUGGGAACUGCAUCCAAAACUGGCAAGCUAGAGUACGGUAGAGGGUGGUGGAAUUUCCUGUGUAGCGGUGAAAUGCGUAGAUAUAGGAAGGAACACCAGUGGCGAAGGCGACCACCUGGACUGAUACUGACACUGAGGUGCGAAAGCGUGGGGAGCAAACAGGAUUAGAUACCCCCGUAGUCCCUGUCUCUUAUAA